rnacentral:misc_RNA from 1 species
UCCGAGUUGACCCCGGCAGUCUCCUAUGAGUCCCCGGCAUAACCCGCUGGCAACAUAGGACGAGGGUUGCGCUCGUUGCGGGACUUAACCCAACAUCUCACGACACGAGCUGACGACAACCAUGCACCACCUGUGAUCGUGCCCCGAAGGGAGAGUGUGUUUCCACACCUGUCACCAACAUGUCAAGCCCAGGUAAGGUUCUUCGCGUUGCAUCGAAUUAAUCCGCAUGCUCCGCCGCUUGUGCGGGCCCCCGUCAAUUCCUUUGAGUUUUAGCCUUGCGGCCGUACUCCCUAGGCGGGGCACUUAAUGCGUUAGCUACGGCGCGGAAAACGUGGAAUGUCCCCCACACCUAGUGCCCAACGUUUACGGCGUGGACUAC